rnacentral:rRNA from 1 species
UACGAAGGGGGCUAGCGUUGUUCGGAUUUACUGGGCGUAAAGCGCACGUAGGCGGGUCGUUAAGUCGGGGGUGAAAUCCUGGAGCUCAACUCCAGAACUGCCUUCGAUACUGGCGACCUAGAGUCCGGAAAGAGGUGAGUGGAACUCCUAGUGUAGAGGUGGAAUUCGUAGAUAUUAGGAAAGAACACCAGUGGCGAAGGCGGCUCACUGUCCGGUACUGACGCUGAG